GUGAGGUCGCUUCUUUACGGUUCUGUCCCCUAGGCCCCUUCCUUCCAUAAGACCUACUCAGGACUCCACUGGGCUGCUGACUACUCACCCUCCCCUCAGGUCAUCUCCUGACCCGUACACAGUUAUGUCCACCCAGGGUCUGCUUGGACACCUGUGCCUGAUGUUCACCAGGGGCCAGAUGUCGUCCUCAGGCCUGAUGUCCACCUAGGGCCUGAUGACUGCCUUGGCCUAUGUCCCUCUGGGGGCCUUGUGUUCACCUGGGGACUGUAUCCAGCUGGGGCCUGAUGGCCUACUGGGUCUUGUUGUUCACCUAAGGCCUUGUGUCCACCUGGGGACUGGUGAUCACCUGGGGCCUGGGUGUCCACCUGAGGCCAGAGGUGCACCUAAGGCCUGAGUUUUCACCUGGGCCUGAUGAUCACCUGGGGACUGGGUGUGUGCCUUGGGUCUUUUCCCUUUUCCUGAACAGGGCUUGCAGUUUCCAAACCAGACACAAUCUCCCAGUUGGAGAAAGAAAAAGGAUCCUAGAUGAUAGUGAGACAAAUUUCAGGAAACUCCAUCCAAAUAAGUAAAUGAGAAUGAGGACAGGAUUCAUUGUAAGUAACAUUCUCAGGUGGUGUUCCAAAGUUAUCUUUUGCCUGGGUACAGUGGCUCACACCUGUAAUCCCAGCUCUUUGGGAGCCCAAGGUGGGAGGAUCACUAGAGGCUAACAGUUUGAGACCAGCUUGGGCAAUGGAGUGAGACCCCCAUUCUGAAAAAAAAAAUUAAAAAAUUUAACAGGCAUGGUGGCAUGUGCCUGCAGUCCCAGCUACUCAAGAGGCUGAGGUGGGAGGAUCGCUUGAACUCAGGAGUUGAAGGCUGCAGUGGGUGAGGAUCACAACACUGAAUUCCAGCUGAGGUGACAGAAUGAGACCCUGUCUCUCUAAAAAACAAGCAAGCAAACAAACCAAAAACCACAGACAAACCAGACCCCUCUUAGCAGAAUACUUCCAUGAGGUAAUAAAAGCCAAAGCCACAAGAAAAGUCAAAUUCAUAUCUUUAAAUGCUUUCAUUAUCAAUCAAGAAAGAAGAAAGUGAAACGAACAAACAAUUUUACUCAAGAAACUAGUGAGAAAUCAAAGAAAUGUCCAAGAAGUAGGAGACAAGAAUUAAUCAAAACAGAUUAACAGUGGAAUAAAUAAAUGAAUCCAACUGGUUCUUUGUAAUGGAAUGUAGAAAGACAUACUCUAUUCUUCUGGAUAGGAAGAUGAAAUAUCAUAAUCAUAUCAAUGCAAGUUUUAUGCAUGCUCAAACAUGUAUAAACUAAGAAAAAAUCUGAAAGGACAGACAGCAAAAUGUUUGCAGUUUUUUUCCUCCAAGUGGUAAGAUUAAAGAACACAGACAAAAAUAGAAACUCCUCACAUGACCCACCACGAAGCCCAUCAGAUGGCAGAAUGCAGAAUCAGGUUGCAAUGGACUGAUCUUAAAACAGAUGAAGCAGUGGAGAAAAUCUUCCUGGAGCUGAUGGUAUAAUUUGCUUCUUGAAACAAUGACAGUCCAUGAAAUAAGGUGGGGAAGAUGUUUUGAACCUCUCUCAGCAGCAGAUCCCUAAAUCACAGACCCAGAACUUGGAGGAAACAGGAAACAGGAGGCCAUCUCUGCACCUCUCCAGCACUGCUCUGGUUGGUGGGCAGAAUAUCAUACAAUCAUCACGAUUCUUAUAUCAAAAACCAAAUUCUAGACUGAUUAAAUAAUUAUUUUUUUAAAUGAGAAAAGUUAUCGUUUAUUUGAUCUUGGGCUAGGGAAGAUAUUUCCAAGCAAAAAGGGUAAAAAGAAGGAAAAAGAAAUGAUUAACAGAUUGGAAGGCAAUAACAAUAUAAUAUCAAGUGCUGGCAAGAGCUCAGAGAAGUGUGUGUUCUCAUGACUGCUGGAACAAAUUGGUAUAAUAUUUCUGAAGGGCAAUCUGGCUGAAUAUGUUAGAAGUCUUUAAAAUAUUUAUACUCUGACUCAGUAAUUCAACAUCUAGAAAUUUUUCCUAAGUAAGUAAUAAGAAAGAGUUGAAAAAAGUAUUUGAAUAUUGAAAGACUGGAAAGAACAUAAAGGUUCAAUAAUACAUAUAUGUUCAACAACAGGGGACUAGUAAAUAUGAAUUAUUUAUAUGAUAAAAUACUAUCUAACCUUAAAAUAAUGUUUUAAAUAAUAUUUAAUGAUGAGAAUAUGCUGAGAAAAGUUUAAUCAUUUUAAAAAAGUUACAUGCAAAAUUAAAGUUAAUAACAUGUACAAGAUUAUUCUAAUUUUUUUUUUUUUUGAGAUGCAGUCUCACUGUUGUCACCUGGGCUGGAGUGCAAUGGAGUGAUCUCGGCUCACUGCAGCCUCCACCUCCCAGGUUCCAGCAAUUCUCCUGCCUCAGUCUCCUGAGCAGCUGAGAUUGUAGGCACCCGCCACCAUGCCCGGCUAAUUUUUGCAUUUUUAGUAGACACGGGGUUUCACCAUGUUGGUCAGGCUGGUCUCGAAUGCUGGCCUUGCUGGGGUGCCGUGGAGUGGGGCCCCGCCCUGGUGAGUUGUUCACUGGGACCACCUUUCUGGAAUGCUGGAAGGCGGCGUGGCAGGACCCACCGAAUGCCUUCAAAAGCCAGUGGUCCAUGCCUCUGUCUCCUUCGUUAGACUCUUCCAGAAGAGACUGGUCAGAGGUGCAGCACAGAUGAACCUACAAAGCUGUUCAUCAAAGCAUCACUUACAAUGGUGAAAAGGCAGAAGAAUCACUGAAUUCCACCAAGGUGGAGCAGCCGAGGAAA
rnacentral:lncRNA from 1 species